ensembl:rRNA 5S_rRNA 5S ribosomal RNA
UUAUACAUUUAAUAUCACCCUGCAGUCUAAGACCGGUUACUCAAUGAAGCUAAGCAGGGCUGAGCCUGGUCAGUACCUGGAUGGGAGACCACUUGAGAAAACUAGGUUGCUGUUGGAA